CCUACGGGAGGCAGCAGUGAGGAAUUUUCCGCAAUGGGCUAACGCCUGACGGAGCAAUGCCGCGUGGAGGAGGAAGGCCUGUGGGUCGUAAACUCCUUUUCUCAGAGAAGAAGAUCUGACGGUAUCUGAGGAAUAAGCAUCGGCUAACUCUGUGCCAGCAGCCGCGGUAAUACAGGGGAUGCAAGCGUUAUCCGGAAUUAUUGGGCGUAAAGCGUCCUGAGGUGGCUUACCCAGUCGACUGUGAAAGCUCAAGGCUCAACCUUGAAACGGCAGUCGAAACUUGUAAGCUUGAGUACGGUAGAGGCAGAGGGAAUUCCCGGAGGAGAGGUGAAAUUCGUAGAUAUCGGGAGGAAGGCCAAAGGCGAAAGCACUCUGCUGGGCCGAUUACUGACACUGACAGACGAAAGCUAGGGGAGCGAAAGGGAUUAGAUACCCUGUAGUCCUAGCCGUAAACGAUGGAUACUAAGUGUUGCGCGACUCAACUCGUGCAGUGCUGCAGCUAACGCGGUAAGUAUCCCGCCUGGGGAGUAUGCUCGCAAGAGUGAAACUUAAAUGAAUUGACGG
rnacentral:rRNA from 1 species